rnacentral:SRP_RNA from 1 species
GGUCAGGUCGUACGCAACACAACCUCAUGAACCCCGUCAGGACCGGAAGGUAGCAGCGGUAAUGGGAUCUUGUGUGUGCCGUAUCCAACCUGACCGGA